CGGGGUGUGGCUCAGGUGGUAGAGCGUCGGCUUUGGGAGCCGAAUGUCGCAGGUUCGAGUCCUGCUACCCCGA
rnacentral:tRNA from 6 species